GGCGACAUAGCCAAGUGGUAAGGCAGAGGUCUGCAAAACCUCCAUCCGGCGGUUCAAAUCCGCCUGUCGCCU
rfam:Aphanizomenon flos-aquae 2012/KM/D3 mira_268_len:23032, whole genome shotgun sequence.